UUGCAAGAGAAAUAGUCUGAC
rnacentral:miRNA from 1 species